UCUUNUAGCNGNGAAGAAGCGGANGUGANGNNACCUGCAGAAAAANCGCCGGCUAACUACGUGCCNGCAGCCGCGGUAAUACGUAGGGCGCAAGCGUUAUCCGGAAUUAUUGGGCGUAAAGAGCUNGUAGGCGGUUUGUCGCGUUUGCUGUGAAAUCACGAGGCUCANCCUCGGCCCUGCAGUGGGUACGGGCNGACUAGAGUGCGGGGGAGAUUGGAAUUCCUGGUGUANCGGUGGAANGCGCAGAUAUCAGGAGGAACACCGAUGGCGAAGGCAGAUCUCUGGGCCGUAACUGACGCUGAGGAGCGAAAGGGUGGGGAGCAAACAGGCUUAGAUACCCUGGUAGUCCACCCCGUAAACGUUGGGAACUAGUUGUGGGGUGCNNNCCACGGAUUCCGUGACGCAGCUAACGCAUUAAGUUCCCCGCCUGGGGAGNACGGCCGCAAGGNUAAAACUCAAAGGAAUUGACGGGGACCCGCACAAGCGGCGGAGCAUGCGGAUUAAUUCGAUGCAAC
rnacentral:rRNA from 1 species